rnacentral:rRNA from 1 species
AGUGGCGAAGGCGGCCUACUGGGCACCAACUGACGCUGAGGCUCGAAAGUGUGGGUAGCAAACAGGAUUAGAUACCCUGGUAGUCCACACCGUAAACGAUGAUUACUAGGUGUUGGAGGAUUGACCCCUUCAGUGCCGCAGUUAACACAAUAAGUAAUCCACCUGGGGAGUACGACCGCAAGGUUGAAACUCAAAGGAAUUGACGGGGGCCCGCACAAGCAGUGGAGUAUGUGGUUUAAUUCGACGCAACGCGAAGAACCUUACCAAGUCUUGACAUCCCUUGACAGACAUAGAAAUAUGUAAUCUCUUCGGAGCAAGGAGACAGGUGGUGCAUGGUUGUCGUCAGCUCGUGUCGUGAGAUGUUGGGUUAAGUCCCGCAACGAGCGCAACCCUUAUCGUUAGUUACUACGCAAGAGGACUCUAGCGAGACUGCCGUUGACAAAACGGAGGAAGGUGGGGAUGACGUCAAAUCAUCAUGCCCUUUAUGACUUGGGCUACACACGUACUACAAUGGCGUUAAACAAAGAGAAGCAAGACCGCGAGGUGGAGCAAAACUCAGAAACAACGUCCCAGUUCGGACUGCAGGCUGCAACUCGCCUGCACGAAGUCGGAAUUGCUAGUAAUCGUGGAUCAGCAUGCCACGGUGAAUACGUUCCCGGGCCUUGUACACACCGCCCGUCACACCAUGAGAGCCGGGGGGACCCGAAGUCGGUAGUCUAACCGCAAGGAGGACGCCGCCGAAGGUAAAACUGGUGAUUGGGGUGAAGUCGUAACAAGGUAGCCGUAGGAGAACCUGCGGCUG